CCAGAGCUGGAUUCCAGGACCAGAAUUUGUCACAGUCUAAGAUGUGCACGAGAAAGAUGCUUGAAAUGUGGUUUGUUGUUUUGUUGGGGAUUUUCUCCCCCAUAAGGUAUCUGUGAUUUGCAGCUUUUCUCAUGUGAGGUGGGAAACACUCUUAGCUGGCUCAUCGUCCAACCUGCUUGACCUUUAUUCUGCUUUGUAAAAAUCAAGAUUGAUGGGAUGAAUUUCCAGUGCCAAAAGAAGGAGCACCUUAGAAAAGAAGCCCAGAAGCAUGAUGCAACAUCUGAACACGUCCCUUAGUCAGCAUUUACUGCUGGCAACAUAACAGCAGUGUCCUAUCAUCUUGUCCUCCAAAAGAGAUGAGCUGCUGCCAGAAGAUUGAGGACGGGGACACACACAAACACUUGCCUGGCAGAAAUUAUUGCCUCAGGUGUUUGCAUCCUUCAUGAAGGAAGCCCCAUUUUUUUUUGAGAUGUGCCCCCUUCUGAUAAACAUCUUCUAUCAUUGCUUUGGAUCAUACACAGUGAAUAGUAAAUUUUGACAGCUGUCACUCAUUCUUUAGCAUUUCCAGUACUUGGGAAGAAAUUACGGAAAUGGCAAAAGUGGAAAGUUUUGACAGCUGAGCCACAGGAAUUAUUCCUGUAUAAAACAGCAAAUACCAACUCAAGAAGCAGGCUAUGGAUUUGAGAGACUUUCUGGAAAACUUGUGAAGGAGAAGCCAGCGAACAAAUGAAACUAAUUCUUGUGCAUUCUGCUGUUUUUCUGCCUGUGAGAAUACUCAAUAUUCUGCAUUCUAAUAUUUAAUAAUAUUCAUUAUUUAAUAAAUAAUCCUGGCAUAACCCAGAAAAAAUAUUCAAGAGUAUAAACUCUUUUGGUUAGCAGUUUUUAAAGCAUGGCACAGCAUAUGUGUUACCAACAUAUCCUGAAAAAUCAAAUGAUUGAAGCAAAUUCUCUCUUGAAACAAACCCAUCAAGGAUAGAAAGGAAUAUCUGUGCUCAAGUCACAAGAAACUCAAUUAAAUUCCCAUGGCAAUUCUUACCGAAUUCAACAAAAUUCACUUUAUCCUAAGAACACCUCCCUGUAAGUAAUCUGCUGCCUGAGACACACCCUUUUACCAUCUCCUGGACUUUCAGUCUCCUUUUACUGGUCCUUUUUUCCUUUUUUACUGAGCCUUGUAUAGGUUUCCUUUUUUCAGGGGCCCAUCAUCCUUGCAUGAAGCAGAAGGAAAGCUGGGACUAUCCUGAGUACUUUGAAAAGCCAUUAAAGGGUAAUGUGCAUUAAA